AACGUAGGUGGCGAGCGUUAUCCGGAUUUACUGGGCGUAAAGGGCGUGCAGGCGGUUUGUUAAGUGCAGAGUGAAAGCUCCCGGCUCAACUGGGAGAGGUCUUUGCAUACUGGCAAACUCGAGGGAGGCAGAGGAAAGUGGAAUUCCCGGUGUAGUGGUGAUAUGCGUAGAUAUCGGGAGGAACACCUGUGGCGAAGGCGGCUUUCUGGGCCUUACCUGACGCUGAGACGCGAAAGCGUGGGGAGCGAACCGG
rnacentral:rRNA from 1 species